GAUGAACGCUGGCGGCGUGCCUAAUACAUGCAAGUCGAGCGAACAGACGAGGAGCUUGCUCCUCUGACGUUAGCGGCGGACGGGUGAGUAACACGUGGAUAACCUACCUAUAAGACUGGGAUAACUUCGGGAAACCGGAGCUAAUACCGGAUAAUAUAUUGAACCGCAUGGUUCAAUAGUGAAAGACGGUUUUGCUGUCACUUAUAGAUGGAUCCGCGCCGCAUUAGCUAGUUGGUAAGGUAACGGCUUACCAAGGCGACGAUGCGUAGCCGACCUGAGAGGAGGGACAGGCAAAACGGAAAUGAGAACAGGGACCGAACCCGAAGGGAGGGAAGAAAGGGGAAAUUUUCCGAAAGGGGGAAAGCCUGAACGGGACAAGCCGCGGGGGGGAAGAAAGGAUUCGGAUUGGAAAAACUUUUUUAUUGGGAAAAAAAAAAGGUGAAAAAAACUUGGCAGGUCUGAAGGGACCCAAAGAAGAAGCCCAGGCCAAACUAGGG
rnacentral:rRNA from 1 species